UGCUCUAGGCAGCUUUUACUUGCUUAGUUAACUCCACAAGGAAAGGAGCUUUUGGGUUGGCUGGUUGGGGUUUUUUUCCUGUGCACAGUUAAAUAUUUUCUAAUUAGCAACGGAAUAACUGAGAAGAAAACUUGCUCUACAAAUUACCUUGACUAUAAGCCAUGGAUUUUUGGUCCCUUUUAGGGGGUCUGUGAAGGUGCAAGUGACUCCCUAUUCCCUUACCUGACCAAUCUAUUACUUGAUUUUUUUAGGGAGCCAAACAAGCAAUUAUCAGUGAAUUCAGGCCAGUAUAAGAGGGCUCACUUCUCUGCAGGGAGGGUUGAAAUUUGCGAACUCUAGAGCAAUUCAACCUCAAACAAAUAUCCUGCCUUGAAGUUGUGCAGCUGGCCAUGCCUGUGAGGUAAGGGGGUCUUUGUAAACAUGGUGUCUGCAUACCCCGUAGGUACUGCUGUCUCUUUACAUUUUGAUCUGUUUGAAUUGUGUAGUGCCUUGCAGUCUGAACAACAAAAUGACUGACUGUUCCCAUCAGCCCAUCACUGCUCCAGCUGUUUGCCUUAACCUGCAGCACACAGCCAGGCAAGAUUCUCCAGCACAGUCAGUGUUUUCAUUCAUUCCUAGAUUUGUUUCCCAGGUACUCAAUAACACCUGAGGAAAGCAGCAGGAAGAGUGUAUUUUGGGACUAGGGGGAAUUUCUGGGAGAAGAGAACACAGUAAAACACAUUAUUCAUAUUCUUCUCACACUACUUUUGUUAGCCCAUUUGUUAGUGAGCUGUAAGCAGUUACAGUCACUUAUUCCCUGAUUCUUUCCAUUGCAAGACCUUGUUCUCCACUAAUUAGAACAUAGCUGAAAGUAAAGCAUUUAGCUUGAUUUAUGCCCUCAGCAAUUACUGCCCUCAGAUGGACGAUUUUAGAGUUCAGCCAAAGCAGCUGCAAUGUUUUCAAUAACGAGGCUUGAUGAAAAAAUGUCUGUCCACGAUACCUUUCAGUGAUUUUGUAAUAGUUCUGUCUUCAAGGCCCGUUAUUUGAAAACUUUGAGCAGUAUGGCUAUAAUAAGAAAAGGGCAUCUCUUGCUGUUUCUAUCAAGUAAGUGGUUCAGUGCAGAUAAUUUAGCCACUAAAAAUAUCAGAAUAUAUUACUGUGAAAUGUCUCCCUUCUUACUUUGUGUAUGCCCCAGCUGGGGCCACACUCACUGAUCUUGUGCUGCUGCUGCAAGCCAUAAGGGCUGUAAAGGACCAGCCCUAUAAAUGAUUCACUUCAGCUGCUCUCAGCUAGGAUUAGGAUUGAAAACAGGGGGCCUUGGUUCUUAUCUUCUCUGCCAAAUGCUCCAGUUUGUCUCCCCUUCAGAGGCACCAUGAUGGAAUAGAGGAGAUAACUGACUGGCUUGUACAAGGGAGACAAAUGCUGGGCCAGAAGAAAUCAAAAAGAGACUGACCUUCUAGCACUGGAUCAAGUGGAAUGGAGCAAGCUGAUCAGCAGGAGAGAGGUUGGUGUCAGUAGGGAGCUGUGACUUGGGGAGGAAAGGAAAGAAACAAACUUUGAAAGAGAGACUUGGAGGCUGGAAACUAACUGGGGCCAACUGAUGAUUAGGGGAGAGGAGGAGGAAGGUGAAACAGUUAUGAAUCUGUGAAAAAAUUAUGUCCAUGAAUCUUUUCAAGUUGGAUGUGAAAGCCAAGCUUUGUGACUCCUCUGCCACCAGUAAAUAUCUGAAAACCUGCUAGCAAAAUGACUAUUCACUUACAAUAUUGUCCUCAUACAAAAUGACUGUAUUAGUGCUGUCAGCUAUUCCAGUAAUGUGUCAGAAAUCUGGGUAUUGAAUCACAGAUGCUUAAAGCUGUUGAUUAACCAGAUAUUUCAUGUUCCACAUGACAGAAUUCCUGUAUUUUUAAUGUCUUUUGAAAUCCAGAAGCUAUCACAAAAAAGAAAACUGAUUUCAAACAGUGUGAGUGAAGCUGAAAGUCAAACACACCAAACUGAGGAACUGUUAGAAUUAAGGCUGUCUUUGGAACCUUCAUUCACAGCUUCAGUCUGUCUUUUGAUGUUGUUUUUCAGUAUUUGAGUUCAUGCUGCUUUCUAACACUUUGGCUUUGAUGCUGCACAUUUAGUGUUCUUUAAAUGUGCUUUUGUGUACAUCUAGAGCUAAGCCAGUCAUUUCAUUGUAAGUUUUCUUUUCUAUCUUUUUUUAUUUUCAUGGAAUUUUUAGAAAAAGGGUUCUUAGAAGAAUAUUGAUGUUGAAAUUUUCUGGUAACGCAAAUUCUGCUUUUCAAAUCUUCCGUGUGCUGGGUAUUAGAAUGGAAGAAGUGGAUUGAAAUACUUUCCAUUGAGCUUCUGCUUGUUUGUUUGGGUUUUUUUCAAAAGUAGUUGUAUAAUUGCUAUCAGGAGAAGGAGCAGGCUGAAGUCAGAAAGUGCCUGCCUGGCUGUGCAGUCUGUUGGAAGCCUGUGCCAUUUGUGUUGACAAAUGGGCUGCCUGUAAAUCCCAUCUUCCCUGCAAUGGAGCCUAUACUGGAAAUCCUCCUAUGGAAUAGAUCCCUGGGGCUGCUGAGAAAAGCAUCACAUGCCCUGCCCUCCAGCCUGCAGGAUGUGCCAGCUCUGGCCACUGAGGGAUGGACACGCUUUUGUCUCUGGCACUGUGCAGUGGGCUCCUCCAGCCAACAGCUAACCUUGCACACAGGAGAGGUUCACUGCAGGUUUAGGUCAUUAUACAAAGGUCAUUCUGCUGUGAGCUCCAGGAAGGUCCCUCUCCUUCAAACUCACGCUUCCUUGCUAACCCUGAGCCCAUUGCCCAAGCCAGAAGCUGGAAAAUCCCAGUCCCUUUGACAAGAUGGUAUGAGAAUACAACAUCAGCAUGGAGGAGUAGUUCCUCUCCAUCUGGAAUAAAACAUACUGAAACCUUCCCUGUGUUCCUAUACAUGAGAACAAAAAAGCAGGGAGGAGAGAGUUACAUGACCAGCUAAUCUCUUCUAGGAUAAUAAGGGGAAUAGUUUAAGUGCUGCAACAAACAAAACAAACCCCCAGCCAUUCUGAGCCAGUAUGGAAACCUUAAUUUCAGCAUUUUAACGAUGUUGUAUUCCACCUGACAGCACAGCACAAGCAACGUGACACCCAGUCAAGGGCUAUAGUACAUUCCAAGUAACUACACUUCAACCACAAUGCUUUUCCCCUGGAUAAAAAUAAGUUGUACACAGUCGUACUGUGGAAAAAUUUUCUGCAUCUUUUGAUACACUGGUGGGCUGUCUUAGAUUAAGGACCCACUUAGUGUGGACAUGCACUUUAUAUUUUUGUACUAUUGGAGUGAAAAGAGGGAAAGUUACUUUUUUUUCCUUUUUAAUGACACAAAAAGUCAAUCAUCAGUGUUACAUUGAGAUGUUAUUUUUCUUCAGUAUGUAGAUCACACAGAGCUGCAUAACAGAGCACUACACCAAAAGUGAAAAACAACCACAGGAAGAGGGGAGAAAAAUCCUCUUACUAUCAGCAGUUCUCAACUUUAUGUAUAAGAGAAUUACUUCAGAUCAUGCAAUCUGCUUCAUUAGCCUGUUCAUCUUCCCAGUGUGUUAUUAAGGUUCAACUUGCUUAACAAAACCAGGAAGAUCAGAAUAUGCCAAUCAAAUCUGGAAUGACUUAAACAGUCUGUGGUAUAAGUGGCUUACAUAUUUCAUUGUAGGUUGAUGUGAGGAAAUUGCUGAUACAGACAAAACAUACAGGUUAUAAUUUCAAAGGCCCUGGAGCUGUAGGAUGAAAAAAUAUUCAGCAAAAGUCUUUUUCCUUAUUCAAAGUAAGAAGAAAAUAUCUGUGUAGAAAAUAGGAGUUUUGAAUUUAAAUCAGUGAAACAAUGAAAGAGACUGACAAAGAAGCAUUUUGAACAGCUCAGCACAGGCUUUCCUUCCUUGUGCAACCACUGCUGGAUGUAAGGAAAUGUUUAAUUUAUGCAGUCCUUAGUCAAAUUUUCUUCCUUUUAGAUGUAGCGUUGAAAUUAUAGGCAGGAGCCUUUCCUUUGGUUGCCACAGGCCUUAGACUUAAAUGCACAGUGAACAGCAAAGCUCUGCAUAUGGUUUAGAACCUAAUCUGGAGACUGACAAACUACAGAUCCCAUUCAAUGGAGACUUUUUGUCAUAGCAUGGGGUCACAAGUCCUGGCAUGCAUUCACAGGUGGAAGGAUCCAGAGGAGAAGCGGGUGAAAAUGAAGGAGAAAUGGAGUACAAAGGGGAAGAGGGUGUUGUGAUGGGCUAUUGAAGGAGCACAAGUGCCUGCUGAAAUGGUGUGAUCAUAAGUGUAACCACAAGCCCUGGAUGAGUAAAGGAGGCUAUUGAGCAGGACCAGUGAGCCUGCUUCUGUUGUAAUGGUCACUCAGUAGAGAUGACAAAAGAUGAGAUGCUAUUUGGACAGUAGCCUCAAAGUUGGGCUGAAAACUGGAAAUAUGCUUAAGGCAUGCAAUGUGUUCAUGUUAUAGAGAGAGGGAAGAGAGGAAAAAAAAAUUAAGAAUUAAGUGGUUUAAUCACUGUCCACAGGUCACUAAAUGUGUACAAAGUACUUUACAGGAGGGUCUUUAGUCUAGCAGCAAAAGUAUGAAAGGAUCCAGUGAUUAGGAGCUGAAAGUAGCACUUCCCCUUUAAUGUGCAAAAGUAAUUAACUUCAUAAAAAAUUCUUAGUGAUAUGGUAUGUUGAAAUUUUUACCUCAAGAGAGCAUAUCUUUUAGCAAUGUAUUUUCCCCUUCAAACACAAAUUUUUGACCUUGGUGCUAUAAGAACUACAGGGUAAAAUUUUCCAGGCAGUUUACAUUAUAUUUGAUGUUCACUAGAUUUAGCCUCAGAAAAAAAUCCUCCUUUCAGAUAGGUAUUGUCAAGAUGAGGUAGAAAAGGAAGGACAAUGUCUCUACCUGCCUAUGGAGGCUGGGACACUGAAAAUGGGUUGUAUUUCAACAACCUUGACUUUGACCUUCAUGGCACUGUUCAGUUUAAGUGUUAUUUUAAUGUUUUUUGUUCCAGGUUCUUUGUAAGUUGUACAUUUGAAUGGAAAAUCUUUAAAUGCUGCAACAUCAUAAAGUUCCUAGUUACUGUUUAUAAUUAAAAAUUCCCUUAACUUCUGACAAAAAUCACAAUGGUGCUUGCUUAACUAGAUGUUAUCACUAUAUCCUGUAAGAGUCUGCAUGCAACCAAACUCUUCCUUAUCUUCUCUCUAGCACAUAAUGAUAUAAUUUUGAGCUAUAUGAAGAAUUUGACAUUUCUAAUUAAUUCCCUUCUUACAAACUUCUCAGUAUUGCUGACAGUCAUACAUAAAUACAUUCUUUAGAGUCUUCUAUUUUGCUAUCUUUCCAGUAAUUGGUAAAAUAAUUCCAGAUUUCACAUUUACAAUAGUAGAGAAAUUGAAGAUCUCAAAAGUUUCCCAAAAUAUGAUUCCAGUUUCUAAGUCCAAAGUUUCAUCUUCUUUAUUCUAUGUUUACUUGAUCUUGAUGUAAAAUGAUUGUCUUUAAUCUGUUGGGAACAAGGUAAAGCAGCCCUGUGCCAAGAUCCCAAAGUACUGCAGGGAGAUGGGCAUCUUCUCGCUGGGCACAGCCCUGGUUGAGCACUUACUCUUUGUACAAAGUCCCAGAAUUUGUACCUGUGGAUAUCUGUACUCCUCAAACUGUGAUGAACAGGAUUUCUGUUCCUGGACUGCACUAGGAGAUGGUCCUUUUUUGUCUCUCUCUCCAGCCUCAUGCACAAUGUUUUUUUCUUGUAUCCUCCUGGUUUUCAUGGCCUGACUUUGGUUUGUGCACUGACUGCUCACAUUGCUGUUAUUCCACUCACUUUUUCUUGUCUUUUUAUAAAGGCAGCUCGAGUUCAGUGCUGACCUCAGCUUACCUGACAGCCCCAGGUCUUGUGCUGACAGGAUAGGUCAUAGCUGUGAUCUGAAAUGCUCUUUGCUGUCUUUUUCCCUCUCCUCCUAGAUAUGAAUUUAUCCAGGGAGAUAAUUAAGCUGCAGUUCCCACACUCUCUCUGUUUCUCCUGCCUGCUGCAGCAUGCUGGGUCCUAUGACAGGAUCACUUGUGUCCUUUCUCAGGCAUGUUGUGUAACUUCAGUGCCAGGCAUCUACAGUGUCCUCUUCUUUAUUCUUCCUUUUUAAAAAUGCUUUUGCUCUGCAGCAUGUAGCUCUGCUUGAUUUUGUAUGUUAUUUGUUUUGAAAUGUCCAUAUAUUGGAAAGGUUGUUCUGAUUAAAGACUUAUGGCAAAGUGAAUUGAAAUUAUUCUGCUCCUUCUUUUAAUAAUUGUUUUAUUUGCCCAGUCACCAUUUGUUUAUGAGUACCGCAACAUAAGCACCACAGCCAGUUUGGAAAUGUCCUCUGCUGACACUCCCCAAAAGAUGGGUUUAUCUAUCAGGAAGUAUCAUUUCUCAUUUUUGUGCUAAGCCAUCUGAAUCCUUCAUUUUUCACUCCUGUGUUGCCCCUAAAGCUCCUUGCUAUAUCUUGGAUUUCAUCCUGCCUCUCACUAUUGGAUUUCAUCCUGCCUCUCACUCUUUGCUCUGUGUGGCUCAGACAGCAUCCAGAUGGUCUCUUCCUGAAGUGAGCUUGUUCUGGAAAAAGCCUCACCACUGUCACUCACCAGAGGAUGAGGCUGACCUGAGAAGACUGCACAGUACAAAAGGUCAUUUUUCGUUCACUGGCACUUAGGAGUUAGCCAGCUGUACACUGCAUGUAUGUGUGUAUGUGUGUGUGCACGUGUACAGCGUGUACCUGUGGAGAUUUACACACACUCACACAUAUCCAAAUUAACAUUACAGAGGUAUCAGCUUGACUGCCUCCCUCUGUUUGGAGCAAGAAGAUCAUGUUUUCAGACUAUGUCUUCUAACCUGAAAUAUUCUGAGCAUUUUAGUAUUUCCUACUGGCUUUAAAUGGAUCCUAAAAUUUUCUAAGUGUUAAAGGUAAUCCAACUCUGCAUAAAAGGAUUUAAGAAUUUAAAACCUCAGAAGGUUUUCCAGUAGCAGUAAUUGCUUUCACUUGCAAGUAUCUCCCCAGAGGUACAGGGAGUUAUAAUAUUAGUGAUAUUUUUAUCAUAGUUUUGCACAGGCUAGACAAAGUUAGAUCUUUUAUAUAUUUCAGAUAUACAUUAGCAACUUUAAAUUCCUUUUACAAAAUUUCUGUUCCUUGGAAAUGUCUUGAUUUACGAGUAAAGAAUAUGUUAUUUUUGGAGAAUUGAAACCAUGUGGUUCUAAUUCAAAUUACUUCAGAUGCAUGUAGUUUGCAAAUAGAAAUUCCUCCAUAAACCAUUAGAUAUUGAUGAGUUUCUCCAGUUAAGAGUUAAAUGAGUCAGACCACGGUCUAUCUAGUCAUAACAAUUAGAGGCAGAAAUCAUUAAUAAUUUAAUUUAAUUAUAAUUACUCUUUUGACUGUGGCUGGUGUAGAAGAUUGCAAAUAGGAAACGCUCACAUAAUUAUUAUUCUGAAGAUCAUUCAGGACAAAUAAAAGUCUGAAAAAGAUGUUAAAUCUCUUAAAGGACUUACUUUAAUUAUUUUAAAGUCAUACAUUAAUUAAGGUGUUUACUUAUUAAUCCUUGGAAAUUGAAUUCUGUACUCAGAAUUAAGUGCUGUAAUUUUCUUGAGUAACUAAGUGCUGUGUUUCUCAUACAUGAGAGGUUGAAUUGCUCAACCUUAACUUUAGAAAUUUCUAUAAUAACUUGAGGGAUGCUGACAAUUAACUCACUCAAAAACUUCUCUACGCCUCUAGCAAGUUUUGUGGCUCUAACAUUCUCUCUCUUUAGAAAUCCUGUUGGCCUACUUUUUUUGGGUCAUUUACCAGUCAUCGUCUGCUGCUUCAUUUCUUACUGGCCUAAUUUAUCCAUCUGGAAUUGAAGCAGAAUGUAGACAGAAUUGACUCUGUGGCUGCCAUUGCAGGCCAGCUAUCAUAACCACCUGAAGUUGAAGCACUUUGACGUUUGUGGCUACUCUGAAGAAUCCCCUUCUCACAGACAUAAGGGAUGAGGGUGUUGACUGUUCCCACUGCUUUCUUUUCCUUAUGCUGCUGGCCCUCUGAAGCUACUAAGGAAACUUCACAGACCUUACACAUCAUACUGCUCCUUGGAAUAUCUUUAUUGGUCGGAGCUUUAGUUAUCAUUAUGAAAAGCAUUUUAACAGCCUAAAAAUCAAUCUGCAGGUUCAUGAUUUUGUUCUUUCCCUCUUGCGUACAUCACAUUCCUGCCCUCUCUUGGGUCACCCAUAUAAAGUCCAUACUAAGCACCUCAUCCUCAAGCAGAGGAUCAGCCCUAGUGCUUGUUUAAAAAUGCAUUAUUAUGGUCCAAAUAUUUUUUCCUAGAAAAAGUAAUGUUUUGAGGUACAUAGAACAUUGUAAGCAUAUUAUAAGAUGCAUGAGAAACAUCAGGUUGUUUAGAUUAAGACAAUGAAUACUGCAAUAUAUUCAAAGGCUUUUUCAGGCAUUUCAAGCCUUACAGGUUCUGCAGAAGCAGAAAAUCAGAAAAUUUCAGCAGAAAUCUCCCUGCAGAUGAAAUAAUGCAAAGCCACAGUUGUGCAGCAGCAGCACGUAGAGUGGCCUGGAAGGGCACUGUCUCUGGAAAAGGAGAGGUGCUUUCCAGAUUCAGCUGUGAGCCGGCUUGGCUUUGCUUUGCUUUGCUCUCUCCCUCCCACUCCCUCACUGUCUGUGCAGGCUGUGAGAACUGUCACUGCACCAGCUGGAGUGGAUUUAAAUUUCAUAUGGGAAGUAAAAUGUUGGUUAUGACAACGUGAAUUGUUUUCCCGUUGUGCUGUAGCACAACAAUCACCAUUUCCUCUCUCACGUGGCUCCUGUUCACAAAGCCCAGCACUGUAGUUGUAACCACGCCUGAGUUUUGGAAGCUGAAGCCAUUUGUCUCCUACCUGGCUGCUAUCUUCCCCCACACUGCUUUCUCUGGGAUAUUUGAAGUUUCUCCUCAGAGCUCUUUACCAUUUCUGUGAGGUGGCUCUGGCCAUGGUGGGUUGCCCCUUUUCAGCAGGGAGAUGUCAUCCUCUGAGCUACAAACACAGCAGACAAGAGACUGACUGAUGGUUGUCCCCUAGCUGCUGCAGAGACUGGUGGAUGCACCUGGUUUGUUGUGGUCAUCCAGUUCCAGUGACGUGUAAGAUCUGGACUGUGAAAACAAUUUACCUGUAUUUGAUUGACUCUUCUGUUUAUUCACCAGAGCCUUCUAGAAAAGUCUGGACAAGAGUUUAAGUGCUGAAGUCUGUUCAAGCAUACAUAUGUCAUUGAUUUAAAGUAAGAGAUCUGUUGUCUGCAGCAUCUUCUCAAACUACCUCUAUCAUAAGGAGCAGUCAUGUGUUUGUGAAAUUCAGUUGCCAAAUAAAAGAUUAAAGCUUCAGGCUUGAUUGUGGCUGUUAGCACCCUUUCAAAAACAUUGAAUUCAUAGGAUUCUAUGAGCAGUGAGCUGGGUGUCAAAAUAGCAGCAGGGAUGAUCUCUUUAACUGCAAGCUGAAAGCCAUAAAUGGCUUAAAAAAUAGUAUUGUUCAGGAAGCUUGGGGUUAACAGAAGUGAGCUUGGAAGUCUAUUUUGGAGACUGUCUAGGAUUCACUUUGAUUAUUCAUGGAUGAAUCAGCAUGUCGUCAUCUCCGCUGGUCUAGACGUAAGAAAGGUCUAAAACCCAAACCCAUGCAAGUCACGACUGCAGUGCAGGCCCUUUAUCUGAGCCGUGUGAAAGCACAGUCACUCUGCAAUCAGAUGCAGGCUCAGAAGCAGUCAAGCAAGAGCAGUUCAGCUGAAGAAGCUCUGGGGAAGAAAAGAAAAUCCGGGCCCGAAAUACUGUGAAAUAUAAAUAAGAAGACCAGUUUUGGUUGCAUAAGCAUAUGCUGAAUGACAUGUGAAAAAAAUAAUGUCCUAUAAAACAGAGAAGUCUCUCUUUCCCCAAAGGUAAGGCCAUUCAUGGCAGUUUAAGACCUUUCUUGUUCUUGUGACUCUGCCACACCUGCAAAUGCCAUCUGCACUGGUGAAUUUUCAUUGCCUCAGUGUCAUCGAGAGAAAGGUGCAUGGCCAUCUAGUUACAUUUAUUUAGUCAGCAGCUUCAAUAUUUUCCUUUCUCAGUAAAACUCAUCUAACAUAAAUGCAAGAGCUAAAGGCUCACUAGGGAUUGUAGAGCAAUGCAAAUAUUACAGAAGAGAUAAGAUAUUGUCUAAAACUCACUUGUUAACAAUUCUUUAAAGUCCCAUAGGGCUGUUGGUGGACAUUAAAAGAGAUUUCCACAGAAAUCUGGUGAUUUUCAAACCCAUCCUUUAGUACUUUCCAGUGGAAAACCAUGGUUUAGCCACUGCACCUCUAAUGAGAUUCCCUGCAAUGUUGCCUAACCUAGUCUUUGGUGAGAUUAAUAUCUCAGGGGCAAAAUUCAAAAUUUUCUGAUGUGAGUAAAUGUAAGAUACUCAGAUAAUAUGUGGAAAAAAAGCUUAUAUUACUUAAAAAUAAAUAAGUUUGUGCAAAAGACUAAAAUAUUGCUUCUGCCUAGAAAAUAUAGCCAUCUGGUAGGUGUUACAAGGUGUGAAGGCACGGGCAAUGUUAAGGAAGACCAGGGGAAGACUGUAACUGCUACAGUGGACUGUAGAGAGCAAGUUGAACCAUCCGAUUUGCUCACCAAACACCUACAUUGCAGAAUGACCCCACUGGCUUCCUACCCCGUGAAAAGUCCUCAAGUGCCUUGCAUGAGGAUUC